AGGUGUUGUGAAGUCUACAUGA
rnacentral:siRNA from 1 species